UACGUAGGGUGCAAGCGUUGUCCGGAAUUAUUGGGCGUAAAGAGCUCGUAGGCGGUCUGUCGCGUCGGAUGUGAAAAUCCAGGGCUCAACCCUGGACCUGCAUUCGAUACGGGCAGACUAGAGUUCGGUAGGGGAGACUGGAAUUCCGCGUGUAGCAGUGAAAUGCGUAGAGAUGCGGAGGAACACCGAUGGCGAAGGCAGCCCCCUGGGCUAACACUGACGCUCAGGCACGAAAGCGUGGGGAGCAAACAGG
rnacentral:rRNA from 1 species